rnacentral:lncRNA from 1 species
AAAAAUAAGAAGGGGAUGUAAAUGGGAAAAAAAAUCCAAAAUAGGAACCUCCGAAUGGGUUUAACCUUUUCAAGGUUAACAGUCUCAUUAUUCACUGACUACGCGGACUGCCCUAUCAACCCAUUACCUCGUUCAUCCCUCAUAGUCAUCAUCUCUGCCCUUAUCUCCUACAUCUGCUUCUACAUCUCCUAUAACACCUACAAUUGAAGCUCCCCCUGCCAUUGCGAUCUAACUUGGGUUGUUCACACACUCUCGGGCCCCACGGUGGGCACCAAAAUGAUUCAGAUGAACGGAUGAUAGAGUCCGAGAUUGCCACCACCCCUUCUUCCUGCAAUAGCCGCUCCUUCUCCUUUCUACUCGAGCACUGUUGUUUCGUCCGAUUUAGAG